UGGGCAGAAGUCGUUUAAUAAAAUAAUUAAAAUUGGCUGUUGUACAAACGCUCAAUAUGUUGACUUGACAUAUUAAGAGAAAAGGAAACUAAACGGUAGAAUAAUAAAACAAUUCAAAUUAUGAUAAACCCUGAGACGUAAAUUCAAUAAAUACUUUUUCUAAUAAAUUCACUCGACGUCUAUACCGGAAACAUUUUGUAAGGAUUCAUAAUGAUAAAAGUCUUCCGUCUUCAAAGACCUCAAACCGCCUGAUUGUAUGUCAUAUUUGAUUGCUUCCAAAUCAUUUCCAUGCUUGUCAAAAAGCUCUCUGCGUGGAACUGAUAAAGCAGAUCUACAGACUUCCUUGAUAUAUGAGCCAGACAGUCCAGCAGUGGCAUUAACAACUCCAUUCCAAUCAAAGUUCGCUUCUAACGGUACCUUUUUUAAAUAAAGUUCUAAAAUCUUGCGACGCUGUUCGGCAUUUGGAAGAGGUAUGGAGAAUACUUUAGGCAUACGACGCCGAAUGGCCUCGUCGAUGUCAGCUGGUCGAUUAGUAGCACCCAAAACAAGAACCCGUGACUGACCACUCAAUAAACCAUCCCACAUCGACAUAAAUUCAGCUUUAAUUUGAGCCAUUGCUUCAUGGUCUGUCCUUUGGCGUUGCCGCAAGAAAGUAUCAAUUUCAUCGAUAAAUAUUAUAGUAGGCUCAAGCUUACGAGCUAGUGUGAAUAAUGCGUCCACAAGCUUGUUUGAUUCACCGAACCAUUUGUCUGUUAAAAGGCCCACACUCACAUUUAUAA